rnacentral:ncRNA from 2 species
CAUGUCUCGCUUUCGCCAGGUGCCUGCAGUGCGCAGGUGAAACGGGAAGCCGGUGCAAGUCCGGCGCUGCCCCCGCAACGGUAAGCGAGCGGCGAAGCAGACUGGCCACUGGGUCCUGCACCUGGGAAGGCGUCUGCCGAUCGGCAUCGUCCGACGCUCGCAAGCCCGGAGACCGGCCUGGCGGUGAUUCAUCCU